rnacentral:rRNA from 1 species
UCCUACGGGGGGCAGCAGUGAGGAAUAUUGGUCAAUGGUCGGGAGACUGAACCAGCCAAGCCGCGUGAGGGAUGAAGGUACAGAGUAUCGUAAACCUCUUUUGUCAGGGAACAAAGGCGGGGACGUGUCCCCGGAUGAGUGUACCUGAAGAAAAAGCAUCGGCUAACUCCGUGCCAGCAGCCGCGGUAAUACGGAGGAUGCGAGCGUUAUCCGGAUUUAUUGGGUUUAAAGGGUGCGUAGGCGGGAUGCCAAGUCAGCGGUAAAAAUUCGGUGCUCAACGACGUCGAGCCGUUGAAACUGGCGUU